CUUGACCGAGCCGAUCCACAGCGGACGCUGCGCAGGCCGGUCCUGGCCGUAGGUCGCCAGCAGCGCGUGCGCCUC
rnacentral:antisense_RNA from 1 species